rnacentral:rRNA from 1 species
GUAACACGUGGAUAACCUACCUAUAAGACUGGGAUAACUUCGGGAAACCGGAGCUAAUACCGGAUAAUAUUUUGAACCGCAUGGUUCAAAAGUGAAAGACGGUCUUGCUGUCACUUAUAGAUGGAUCCGCGCUGCAUUAGCUAGUUGGUAAGGUAACGGCUUACCAAGGCAACGAUGCAUAGCCGACCUGAGAGGGUGAUCGGCCACACUGGAACUGAGACACGGUCCAGACUCCUACGGGAGGCAGCAGUAGGGAAUCUUCCGCAAUGGGCGAAAGCCUGACGGAGCAACGCCGCGUGAGUGAUGAAGGUCUUCGGAUCGUAAAACUCUGUUAUUAGGGAAGAACAUAUGUGUAAGUAACUGUGCACAUCUUGACGGUACCUAAUCAGAAAGCCACGGCUAACUACGUGCCAGCAGCCGCGGUAAUACGUAGGUGGCAAGCGUUAUCCGGAAUUAUUGGGCGUAAAGCGCGCGUAGGCGGUUUUUUAAGUCUGAUGUGAAAGCCCACGGCUCAACCGUGGAGGGUCAUUGGAAACUGGAAAACUUGAGUGCAGAAGAGGAAAGUGGAAUUCCAUGUGUAGCGGUGAAAUGCGCAGAGAUAUGGAGGAACACCAGUGGCGAAGGCGACUUUCUGGUCUGUAACUGACGCUGAUGUGCGAAAGCGUGGGGAUCAAACAGGAUUAGAUACCCUGGUAGU